rnacentral:rRNA from 1 species
GUGCCAGUCGCCGCGGUAAUACAGAGGUCUCAAGCGUUGUUCGGAUUCACUGGGCGUAAAGGGUGCGUAGGUGGUGAGGUAAGUCUGAUGUGAAAUCCCGCAGCUCAACUGCGGAACUGCAUCGGAUACUAUCUUGCUAGAGGGUUUGAGGGGGGACUGGAAUUCUCGGUGUAGCAGUGAAAUGCGUAGAUAUCGAGAGGAACACCAGUGGCGAAGGCGGAUCUCUGGGCCAUUACUGACGCUGAGGAGCGAAAGCGUGGGGAGCGAACAGGAUUAGAUACCCCCGUAGUCC